rnacentral:lncRNA from 1 species
AUGGAGAACGAAUAUCUUGGAAAAAUCAAUUGUGAUAAGCUAAUUGAUCAGUUUGCAGGUAAGAAGGCAAGGAGAUGGACUUUCAAAUGAAUAUCAAUCAACACUGCUAGAAUGUGUUAUUUUGAGGAUUUUAGAUCAAGCAUUUUUUGUAAUUAUUUUUUGCUACAAACUUUAUGUUUGUAUUGAAUAUUUAGCCUCUUUUGUAGGCUCAUCUAAUGAUAUUGAUGAUACAUGGUUGGUUAUUUGAUUUUACAUUUUGAGUUUAUUCAAGUAUAAAUUUCAUAUAAGUCUAAAACUUGGAGGGCCGCAUUUAAACUUUCGCACAGGGCCUCCGAAAAGUUUG